GACGAACGCUGGCGGCGUGCCUAAUACAUGCAAGUAGAACGCACAGUUGAUACAGUAGCUUGCUACACCAUACACGGUGAGUUGCGAACGGGUGAGUAACGCGUAGGUAACCUGCCUGGUAGCGGGGGAUAACUAAUGGAAACGAUAGCUAAUACCGCAUAAUAUUAAUUAUUGCAUGAUAAUUGAUUGAAAGGUGCAAUUGCAUCACUACCAGAUGGACCCGCGUUGUAUUAGCUAGUAGGUGAGGUAACGGCGCACCUAGGCGACGAUACAUAGCCGAGCUGGGGAGGUGGUCCGCCCAAACUGGAAUGGAGCACCGCUCAGGCUCCUGCCGGGAGGCAGCAGUGGGGAACUUCGGACAUUGACGGAAAUCUUAACGCAGCACGCCGGGUGGGUGGAGGAAGUUCUCGGGUCGUUAAGCUCUUUUUUUUGGGAAGAACGGGUGUGAGAGUUAAACGUUCACGCUGUGACGGUACCUUAACAGAAAGCAACGGCUAACUACGUG
rnacentral:rRNA from 1 species